UACGUAGGGUGCGAGCGUUAAUCGGAAUUACUGGGCGUAAAGCGCGCGCAGGCGGCACUGUAAGUAAGGUGUGAAAUAUCCCUGCUCAACGGGGAGGGUGCACUUUAGACUGCAGAGCUAGAGGACGGUAGAGGGGGGUGGAAUUGCUGGUGUAGCGGUGAAAUGCGUAGAGAUGUGGAGGAACACCGAUGGCGAAGGCAGCCCCCUGGGUCAAGAUUGACGCUCAUGCACGAAAGCGUGGGGAGCAAACAGG
rnacentral:rRNA from 1 species